rnacentral:lncRNA from 1 species
AGACCUAAACACAGUGGUCCAUGGGAUAGCAUUGAAUUCAAUGGCUGCCUUAGAGGUUAACACAAUGAGAUCUGUUUUCAAGGGGAGAGAGGGAAACCUGACACAAAGAAAACUUUUGAGAGAGUCCUGGGGGAACAUCAUAUGCAUCUGGUAUGUCUGAAACAUUUGGAGUCUCCUCCUCUGCAAGUGAAUACACAUAGCCUGUACUGUAUGUGUCACUGCUACUUCAUUAUCACAAAUUUUUUUCAGGAUAAGAGAAAUUGAGCCUAAUAGCUGUCAUAUCAUGUCUUUUAACACUCCACCCUCUUAUGCUGAAGGAAGCUACAAUCAUCCAAGUGGGAAGUAAUGUCUACCGAUGUUCUGAUUUAAGUGAAUGAAGGUCUUCUUUCCACCUCGGGAAAUCUUGAGGGUUAUGUAACAGCAGCUUUGAAAGGCUUGUGAGAUGUACUUUGUGCUAGUCCAUCUCAAAUCUUCACCGGCUGUACCAAGAACAGAAAAAAAAAGGAAUUUGAACAAAAUAUACAGCUGGAUGUUUGUCACAAUUCUAAUGUCCCUGCAAAGAUGAGAUGCAUGAAUCACACAGCAAUCUCAUCAAAAAGAUGAUGAAACUGUGGCCCAGAAAGUUUAAGGGAUGUGUCAAAUGUCACACAGCUCACAGAUCCAGGGACAUGGCUUAAAUCCAGAUAUCUUGAUUCUAACUUCAGUUGAGGAAGAGAAAGAGUGCUGCCCCACGCUGCCUGAUUUACAACGUGAAGUGAAAUCUUUGAAAAGAAAAAUAAGACAAUGUCACUCAAGCUCUUAUCUGAGGAUUUCCUGGGUUUGAAGACAGAGCUCAAACUCAUACAAGGGGUCAUCUGAGUCUGCAGAUAGGCUUGCUUUAUGCUGCUCCGUCAGAUCUCUUCUAAAGAUUAGUGCGCAAUUCUGGACAUUACAUUUUAAUGGUAACAUGGAUUCAACUAAAGGCCGCAGCAACUUUGCUUUGUACACUCUGUCUCCUGCCAAGAGAGCCCAGGGAAGGGCACAGUGAAUACCAAAAGAAGAAUAAGACGGAGAGCUAUUCCUCAGUGAAGCAGAGUUUACAACCCUUGUUCAUUUUGGCCAAAGGCCAGCUGACUCUAGUUUACCUAACUUUUAGAGAGUUUCAGAAAAAAAAAUGGAAGUAAUAUCCUGCCUUUGAGUAUGGAGACAAAAUUCUAAUAUCAUAAGAGAGUUAUCAGAGGUUAAGGCAGUUAGAAGGGUUCAUUCAUUCAACAUUCAACACAAACUGUGAACACCUAACAUUUGCCAUGUACAAAGAAGGACGUUCUGCCUUGGACUAACAUCCAUUCCUGUGAGGGAAGAGAAGCAGCAGCCCCCGAGCACUGCCAGCUGCUGCUGCUGCGAUCCCAGUGUCUGAGUUUGUGACUCGCCGGGAGAUUGUCUGUUCCUGCUGCUUCCAAUAUCGUCUUGGCCUUUAUGAAGGCACAUGCACACGACUGUAGCGGCACCCCUGUCUCCGGCCCAUUGUGGACAUGACUGCUCUUCCAGUGUGGCUCCCCUGUGACAGGCACCUGCUCAGCAACCUACAGAAGCUCCCCCAGAUAAGAAAAUUGAGACUCAGAGCAUUUAAGCAGCCAGCCUGGAGUCACAGAGAUUUAAGUCUCAGAGCCAGCACUCAGGAUGAGUGCCAAUGGAAGCCUGUCCUUGGAGUCCAGAAUGAACGUCAGAAGCAACCCAGCCACAGCAGGAGACUGUCCAUGAAUGUCAUCUGGCUGAACCUAAAGGCAAGACCUUUUUAACUUAUCUCAUUCAAGCUUAUUCUUCGUACUCUUUCACUAAUUCCAAUUAAGAAUAUUUCAUGCUCAUGAUAGGAUUUGCCAUUUUUCCCACUUGCCAAGUCCCUGAUUAUUCAUCAUCAUCACCAGCAACAACAGCAGCAGCAGCAGCAGCAGAAAUAGAGAAUUACUUGUUC